CCUACGGGUGGCAGCAGUGAGGAAUAUUGGUCAAUGGGCGCGAGCCUGAACCAGCCAAGUCGCGUGAAGGAUGACUGCCCUACGGGUUGUAAACUUCUUUUAUAAAGGAAUAAAGUGAGGCCCGUGUGCCUUUUUGAAUGUACUUUAUGAUUAAGGACAGGCUAACUCCGUGCCAGCAGCCGCGGUAAGACGGAGGAUCCGAGUGUUAUUCGGAUUUACUGGGUUUAAAGGGAGCGUAGGUGGGUUGGUAAGUCAGUUGUGAAAGUUUGCGGCUCAACCUUAGAAUUGCAAUUGAUACUGGUAGACGUGAGGGCAGGUGAGGUAGGCGGAAUUCGUGGUGUAGCGGUGAAAUGCGUAGAUAUCACGAGGAACACCAGUGGCGAAGGCGGCUUACUAAACUGUAACUGACAUUGAGGCACGAAAGCGUGGGUAGCAAACAGGAUUAGAUACCCCAGUAGUC
rnacentral:rRNA from 1 species